UACGUAGGCGGAAAAUUAAGUCAGUAGUGAAAUCCUGCAGCUUAACUGUAGAACUGUUAUUGAUACUGGCUUUCUUGAAUAUAGUUGAGGUAGGCGGAAUGUGUAAUGUAGCGGUGAAAUGCUUAGAUAUUACACAGAACACCGAUUGCGAAGGCAGCUUACUAAGCUAUGAUUGACGCUGAGGUACGAAAGCGUGGGGAGCGAACAGGAUUAGAUACCCUGGUAGUCC
rnacentral:rRNA from 1 species